rnacentral:rRNA from 1 species
ACUCCUACGGGAGGCAGCAGUGGGGGAUAUUGCACAAUGGAGGAAACUCUGAUGCAGCGACGCCGCGUGAGUGAAGAAGUAUUUCGGUAUGUAAAGCUCUAUCAGCAGGGAAGAAAGGCUCGCAAGAGAGAUGACGGUACCUGAGUAAGAAGCUCCGGCUAAAUACGUGCCAGCAGCCGCGGUAAUACGUAUGGAGCAAGCGUUAUCCGGAUUUACUGGGUGUAAAGGGAGCGCAGACGGAUAUGCAAGUCUGAAGUGAAACCCCACGGCUCAACCGUGGGCUUGCUUUGGAAACUGUAGAUCUAGAGUACUGGAGAGGUAAGCGGAAUUCCUGGUGUAGCGGUGAAAUGCGUAGAUAUCAGGAAGAACAUCGGCGGCGAAGGCGGCUUACUGGACAGCAACUGACGUUGAGGCUCGAAGGCGUGGGGAGCAAACAGGAUUAGAUACCCUUGUAGUCCU